rnacentral:rRNA from 1 species
CAGUCGCCGCGGUAAUACGUAGGUGGCAAGCGUUGUCCGGAAUUAUUGGGCGUAAAGGGCUCGCAGGCGGUUUCUUAAGUCUGAUGUGAAAGCCCCCGGCUCAACCGGGGAGGGUCAUUGGAAACUGGGAAACCUGAGUGCAGAAGAGGAGAGUGGAAUUCCACGUGUAGCGGUGAAAUGCGUAGAGAUGUGGAGGAACACCAGUGGCGAAGGCGACUCUCUGGUCUGUAACUGACGCUGAGGAGCGAAAGCGUGGGGAGCGAACAGGAUUAGAUACCCGAGUAGUCCCUGUCUCUUAUAC